rnacentral:rRNA from 1 species
UACGUAGGGGGCAAGCGUUAUCCGGAUUUACUGGGUGUAAAGGGAGCGUAGACGGUACGGCAAGCCAGAUGUGAAAGCCCGGGGCUCAACCCCGGGACUGCAUUUGGAACUGCUGAGCUAGAGUGUCGGAGAGGCAAGUGGAAUUCCUAGUGUAGCGGUGAAAUGCGUAGAUAUUAGGAGGAACACUAGUGGCGAAGGCGGCUUGCUGGACGAUGACUGACGUUGAGGCUCGAAAGCGUGGGGAGCAAACAGG